AUGAAUUCCUCUUCUCCUGCAAAUUCUCCUUCGUUGUGUUCAAAUUUAUCUUUGUGACUCUGAGUGGAAAGACAAGUACAGUAAAUUGAAAGAUGGCUACACAAAGCUUGAAGAUAGAAGAAAUGCUCUUCGUAGAGGUCUCUCCAUUUACGAGGAACAAGUCUCCAAAAUGCAGGCAGAAAAUUUGUCUCUCAGGAAAAAUCUUGAG
rnacentral:misc_RNA from 1 species